GACGAACGCUGGCGGCGUGCCUAAUACAUGCAAGUCGAACGCAUUUUCUUUCACCGUAGCUUGCUACACCGAAAGAAAAUGAGUGGCGAACGGGUGAGUAACACGUGGGUAACCUGCCCAUCAGCGGGGGAUAACACUUGGAAACAGGUGCUAAUACCGCAUAAUUCCAUUUACCGCAUGGUAAAUGGAUGAAAGGCGCUUUUGCGUCACUGAUGGAUGGACCGGCGGUGCAUUAGCUAGUUGGUGGGGUAACGGCCUACCAAGGCUGCGAUGCAUAGCCGACCUGAGAGGGUGAUCGGCCACACUGGGACUGAGACACGGCCCAGACUCCUACGGGAGGCAGCAGUAGGGAAUCUUCGGCAAUGGACGCAAGUCUGACCGAGCAACGCCGCGUGAUUGAAGAAGGUUUUCGGAUCGUAAAACUCUGUUGUUAGAGAAGAACAAGGAUGAGAGUGGAAAGUUCAUCCCUUGACGGUAUCUAACCAGAAAGCCACGGCUAACUACGUG
rnacentral:rRNA from 1 species